rnacentral:rRNA from 1 species
GACGAACGCUGGCGGCGUGCUUAACACAUGCAAGUCGAGCGGUAAGGCCCUUUCGGGGGUACACGAGCGGCGAACGGGUGAGUAACACGUGGGUGACCUGCCCUCAGCUCUGGGAUAAGCCUGGGAAACCGGGUCUAAUACUGGAUAUGACUCCAUGACGCAUGUUGUGGGGUGGAAAGCCUUGUGCGGCUGAGGAUGGGCCCGCGGCCUAUCAGCUUGCUGGUGGGGUGAUGGCCUACCAAGGCGACGACGGGUAGCCGGCCUGAGAGGGCGACCGGCCACACUGGGACUGAGACACGGCCCAGACUCCUACGGGAGGCAGCAGUGGGGAAUCUUGCGCAAUGGGCGAAAGCCUGACGCAGCGGCGCCGCGUGAGGGAUGACGGCCUU